UCGCGUGCUAUACAUGCAGUCGAGCGGACAGAUGGGAGCUUGCUCCCUGAUGUUAGCGGCGGACGGGUGAGUAACACGUGGGUAACCUGCCUGUAAGACUGGGAUAACUCCGGGAAACCGGGGCUAAUACCGGAUGGUUGUUUGAACCGCAUGGUUCAGACAUAAAAGGUGGCUUCGGCUACCACUUACAGAUGGACCCGCGGCGCAUUAGCUAGUUGGUGAGGUAACGGCUCACCAAGGCGACGAAGCGUAGCCGACCUGAGAGGGUGAUCGGCCACACUGGGACUGAGACACGGCCCAGACUCCUACGGGAGGCAGCAGUAGGGAAUCUUCCGCAAUGGACGAAAGUCUGACGGAGCAACGCCGCGUGAGUGAUGAAGGUUUUCGGAUCGUAAAGCUCUGUUGUUAGGGAAGAACAAGUGCCGUUCAAAUAGGGCGGCACCUUGACGGUACCUAACCAGAAAGCCACGGCUAACUACGUGCCAGCAGCCGCGGUAAUACGUAGGUGGCAAGCGUUGUCCGGAAUUAUUGGGCGUAAAGGGCUCGCAGGCGGUUUCUUAAGUCUGAUGUGAAAGCCCCCGGCUCAACCGGGGAGGGUCAUUGGAAACUGGGGAACUUGAGUGCAAAAGAGGAGAGUGGAAUUCCACGUGUAGCG
rnacentral:rRNA from 1 species